rnacentral:lncRNA from 1 species
CUGCAGGACCUGUGGAUCUGCAGGAUCUGUGGAUCUCAUCCGGCCCCUCUCUCUCUGUCUCUCUGGCUCCAGACCCCCGCAGUGCCCCCGUCUCGCCCUCGCCCUUGCGCAAGGCUCCCAGCUCCCAGAGCAUGCUGGAGGAGCGCCGCGUGAUCCUGGGCUCCAGCCGCCGGAAGCUCAGCUCCCGCUACGGCAUCUCGGAGUCCUUCAGCCCCGGGGACAACCGGGCCACGCCCCGGGAUCGCUUCCGGCAGAGAGUCGGCACCAUCGUCUGGGAGCCCGCCGCCCCCCCCAGCCGGGACAGCCUGAGCUCCUGCAGCGAGGCGGGCGAGGAGAGCACCGCUCUGACUGAGGACAGGGAGGCGACCGAGCUCAGCGUCUCGUCCGCGACUGAAGACUGCCAAUCCAUCAGCACUGACCAGGCUCCACUGACCAAGAAAAACAGCCUGUAG